AUGCUAAGCAAGUAAUAGCUUUGCUGUUCAGACAAAAAUUAUUGAUCAAUAGAGAUUAACUUAGACAGUCAAACAGCCACAGCAGUCAAAUAGAUUACUACUAGCUAAUGUUCAAAUAUAUAAAAGAUCUCAUAAAUACCAUCUUAGUCAAGAAUUACUACAAGCUCCAGUUCAAAUACAUGUAUUAUGAUUUAGAAGAUGUUAAAAGUAAGAAGAAUAUUGACUAGGAUUGUUGACAACGAUUGAAAUAUAGGGAACGGUUAGUACCCUUUUUCAGAUACUGAACCAAGA